GCACUGCCUUGGAAGCUCUGCAGGGCCUGGCCUCUGGCCUCGGGGGUCUGGUGGCAAUGCCAGAGCAAACCCAACUUGUUCAGAUCUGGGGCUGCUUAAAUGCCACCUGAGCAAUUCCUGGGGCAGCAAGUGGCAUUC